AGUUGAUUAACUAAUUGAAAGGUAUAUGUUUUGAAAACAUAAUUAAGAAGUUCAAAUCUUCUAUUAACUU
rnacentral:tRNA from 1 species